rnacentral:tRNA from 1 species
GCCGGAGUGGCGGAAUUGGUAGACGCAAGGGACUUAAAAUUCCUCGCCCCAAAGGGCGUGCCGGUUCAAAUCCGGCCUCCGGCA